AGGGUCGUAGCUCAGUGGUAGAGCACUGGCUUAAAGAAAGUACCAGGUUCAAUCCCUGGAGUCUCCG